rnacentral:lncRNA from 1 species
GCCUGGUUUCAGUGUCCUGGUUUGUUUGCUCACCCAGAGGUUCCACCCUGCUCUCCACCCAUGGUUAGCACGGUGUUAAUUACUGGCCAUCCCAGUGGGGAUUGCGUUAGGCUGAACGAUUUACAGAUUAGAGCAGUGUGGGUCACUCUGCCAGGGCAGGUGAGCCGUGGUUAGUAGGACGCUGUGACACACUGCCCCAAGCAGUAUCCCGCAGGAUUUGGCCCGGCUGUGGACAGUGAGCUGUGCCAGGGCACGGGGCAGCGCAGCCCGAGAGCCUGGCUGGGCGCCGGGCGCGUGUGCCCCUUGCAUGGGCUCAGCAAACAACUCCCGGCGAUGUGCUUGCCAAAACAAGCCUCAAGGGCAUGGCUUUCGUAGCAGCUUUUAAACGAAACUGAUCUCUGCUUGCCAAGACAGCCCAAUGUGAGCAGUGGAAGUAGGCCAAAGGACUGAGAGCAUCUCAAAUUCAAAUUCUAGUAAUCCUGCUACAUUUUCUGGAGGACUACAAUUUAUUUUCUUCAGGGGAUGUGAUGGACAAAAUAUUCUGCAGCAGCUGGGGCAGCCCCCUGGAGGAUGUCAGGAUCAACCUGUCCAAGCCAUCACCUGGUGUGGUACAAAGCUGCUUCAUUUCUGGCUGGAGGAAGGCAUUUCUCACAAUAGUCUCAAGACUCUGUCCAUGCCAGAUGCCUGUGUAGCUCCCUGAGCUCCUCCCUCUCCAAGAUGAAUAAAGUCAUCUGUUCUUGCCUAACUUUAGACA